rnacentral:rRNA from 1 species
CCUACGGGUGGCAGCAGUGAGGAAUAUUGGUCAAUGGGCGAGAGCCUGAACCAGCCAAGUCGCGUGAGGGAGUACUGCCCUAUGGGUUGUAAACCUCUUUUGUCGGGGAGCAAAAGCCGGACGUGUCCGGCUGUGAGAGUACCCGAAGAAAAAGCAUCGGCUAACUCCGUGCCAGCAGCCGCGGUAAUACGGAGGAUGCGAGCGUUAGCCGGAUUUAUUGGGUUUAAAGGGUGCGCAGGCGGAUUUUUAAGUCAGCGGUAAAAUCGUGGGGCUCAACCCCAUCCAGCCGUUGAAACUGGGGAUCUAGAGUGUUCGAGAGGUAUGCGGAAUGCGUGGUGUAGCGGUGAAAUGCAUAGAUAUCACGCAGAACCCCGAUUGCGAAGGCAGCAUACCGGUGCACAACUGACGCUCAGGCACGAAAGCGUGGGUAUCGAACAGGAUUAGAUACCCCAGUAGUC